rnacentral:rRNA from 1 species
CUACGGGAGGCAGCAGUGGGGAAUAUUGCACAAUGGGCGAAAGCCUGAUGCAGCAACGCCGCGUGAGGGACGACGGCCUUCGGGUUGUAAACCUCUUUUAGCAGGGAAGAAGCGAAAGUGACGGUACCUGCAGAAAAAGCACCGGCUAACUACGUGCCAGCAGCCGCGGUAAUACGUAGGGUGCAAGCGUUGUCCGGAAUUAUUGGGCGUAAAGAGCUCGUAGGCGGUUUGUCGCGUCUGCUGUGAAAAUCCGAGGCUCAACCUCGGACCUGCAGUGGGUACGGGCAAACUAGAGUGCGGUAGGGGAGAUUGGAAUUCCUGGUGUAGCGGUGGAAUGCGCAGAUAUCAGGAGGAACACCAAUGGCGAAGGCAGAUCUCUGGGCCGUAACUGACGCUGAGGAGCGAAAGCGUGGGGAGCGAAUAGGAUUAGAUACCCCGGUAGUC